ACGCUGGCGGCAUGCCUAACACAUGCAAGUCGAACGAGACCUUCGGGUCUAGUGGCGCACGGGUGCGUAACGCGUGGAAUCUGCCCUUAGGUUCGGAAUAACUUCGGGAAACUGAAGCUAAUACCGGAUGAUGACGUAAGUCCAAAGAUUUAUCGCCUAAGGAUGAGCCCGCGUUGGAUUAGCUAGUUGGUGAGGUAAAGGCUCACCAAGGCGACGAUCCAUAGCUGGUCUGAGAGGAUGAUCAGCCACACUGGGACUGAGACACGGCCCAGACUCCUACGGGAGGCAGCAGUGGGGAAUAUUGGACAAUGGGCGAAAGCCUGAUCCAGCAAUGCCGCGUGAGUGAUGAAGGCCUUAGGGUUGUAAAGCUCUUUUACCCGGGAUGAUAAUGACAGUACCGGGAGAAUAAGCUCCGGCUAACUCCGUG
rnacentral:rRNA from 1 species